rnacentral:pre_miRNA from 1 species
AAUGGGAUAGCUGGGUCAAAUGGUGGUUUCAUACAGAGUUUUCCAAGGAAUCUCCAUACUGCUUGCCAGAUUGGUUGCACCAAUUGGCAGUCCCACCAGCAAU